rnacentral:lncRNA from 1 species
GCUCCACCCAGUUCGAGCUUCCUGGCUGCUUUGUUUACCUAAGCAAGCCUGGGCAAUGGUGGGCGCCCCUCCCCCAGCCUGGCUGCUGCCUUGCAGUUUGAUCUCAGACUGCUGUGCUAGCAAUCAGCGAGACUCCGUGGGGUAGGACCCUCAGAGCCAGGUGCGGGGUAUAAUCUCGUGGUGCGCCGUUUUUUAAGCCCGUCGGAAAAGCGCAGUAUUCGGGUGGGAGUGACCCGAUUUUCCAGGUGCUGUCCGUCACCCCUUUCUUUGAUUAGGAAAGGAACUCCCUGACCCCUUGCGCUUCCCGAGUGAGGCAAUGCCUCGCCCUGCUUCGGCUCGCGCACGGUGCGCGCACCCACUGACCUGCGCCCACUGUCUGGCACUCCCUAGUGAGAUGAACCCGGUACCUCAGAUGGAAAUGCAGAAAUCACCCGUCUUCUGCGUCGCUCAGGCUGGGAGCUGUAGACUGGAGCUGUUCCUUUUCGGCCAUCUUGGCGCCUCCCUCAGGUCUCACAGUUUGGAGGAUAGAAUGGGAAAAUGCUGAUUGCAAGUUAUUUCCGACAUCCUUGAACUUACCUCCCACAUGUGAAUCACAGCUUCUACUGCAUGCCCACUCCUUUUGCCUAAAUAUGCAGUUAUCAUCAUACAUCCAGAAUUGCCCUCUGAAAUAAUCACAGACUCCCACUGGCACAAAGAAGAACACAUCACCUAGUCUUGGAAAGAGGAGGAAGUAAGGAAAGUCUUCCAGGAGCCC